rnacentral:rRNA from 1 species
GUAGGUGGCAAGCGUUGUCCGGAAUUAUUGGGCGUAAAGCGCGCGCAGGCGGUUCUUUAAGUCUGAUGUGAAAGCCCACGGCUCAACCGUGGAGGGUCAUUGGAAACUGGAGAACUUGAGUACAGAAGAGGAAAGCGGAAUUCCACGUGUAGCGGUGAAAUGCGUAGAGAUGUGGAGGAACACCAGUGGCGAAGGCGGCUUUCUGGUCUGUAACUGACGCUGAGGCGCGAAAGCGUGGGGAGCAAACAGGGAUUAGAUACCCUGGUAGUCCACGCCGUAAACCAUGAGUGCUAAGUGUUAGGGGGUUUCCGCCCCCUUAGUGCUGCAGCUAACGCAUUAAGCACUCCGCCUGGGGAUACGGCCGCAAGGCUG